CCGUGAUCCGGGUUGCGGACAGUGUCUGGUGGGUAGUUUGACUGGGGCGGUCUCCUCCUAAAGAGUAACGGAGGAGCACGAAGGUUGGCUAAUCCUGGUCGGACAUCAGGAGGUUAGUGCAAUGGCAUAAGCCAGCUUGACUGCGAGCGUGACGGCGCGAGCAGGUGCGAAAGCAGGUCAUAGUGAUCCGGUGGUUCUGAAUGGAAGGGCCAUCGCUCAACGGAUAAAAGGUACUCCGGGGAUAACAGGCUGAUACCGCCCAAGAGUUCAUAUCGACGGCGGUGUUUGGCACCUCGAUGUCGGCUCAUCACAUCCUGGGGCUGAAGUAGGUCCCAAGGGUAUGGCUGUUCGCCAUUUAAAGUGGUACGCGAGCUGGGUUUAGAACGUCGUGAGACAGUUCGGUCCCUAUCUGCCGUGGGCGCUGGAGAACUGAGGGGGGCUGCUCCUAGUACGAGAGGACCGGAGUGGACGCAUCACUGGUGUUCGGGUUGUCAUGCCAAUGGCACUGCCCGGUAGCUAAAUGCGGAAGAGAUAAGUGCUGAAAGCAUCUAAGCACGAAACUUGCCCCGAGAUGAGUUCUCCCUGAGACUUUAGGUCUCCUGAAGGAACGUUGAAGACGACGACGUUGAUAGGCCGGGUGUGUAAGCGCAGCGAUGCGUUGAGCUAACCGGUACUAAUGAACCGUG
rnacentral:rRNA from 1 species